CCAGGACUUCAUAAAAAGGAUCGGCAUCGGCAUCGGCAGGCUGUAGCUUCGUUCCAUAUUUCGGUACAAGGCCGUCCAAGAUAUGUGUCAGCUGUCUGCAGAUAUCAAAUCAAGACUGAACCAACCUCUCCCAGAGCUUUGCUGUCUACCUUUCGAGAGAAAAGGAAGCCCUGCUACAUCAAUGCCUAUGGGACUUGGGAGUUCGCAGCACUGGUGAUGUUACAUAUGUUCAAGAGAGGGAAUUAUCAACUAUCCUAAACCCCAUCCAAAGCAGGAAAUUUUUGCAGCUCUGGAAUGAUUUUGACAGCGCUGCUCUAACUGUGCCACAACCUCCGGGCAACAACACAGAGUCACAGCCUCUGGAGAACGUACGACCGUCAGUUCCACAACGCGUCAGUGCUGACUGGCCAACAACAUUUUCAAUACCGUUUCAUCGUGCAAACGCUGGCUUCCUGCGUGAUUUGGAUCAGAAAAAGCGCCCGAAAA